CCUACGGGGGGCAGCAGUGAGGAAUAUUGGUCAAUGGGCGCGAGCCUGAACCAGCCAAGUCGCGUGAGGGAGGACGGCCCUACGGGUUGUAAACCUCUUUUGCCGGGGAGCAACGGGCGUCACGUGUGGCGCCACUGAGAGUACCCGGAGAAAAAGCAUCGGCUAACUCCGUGCCAGCAGCCGCGGUAAUACGGAGGAUGCGAGCGUUAUCCGGAUUUAUUGGGUUUAAGGGGUGCGUAGGCGGCUCGUUAAGUCAGUGGUCAAAUGGAGGGGCUCAACCCCUUCCCGCCAUUGAAACUGGCGUUCUUGAGUGGAAGAGAAGUAUGCGGAAUGCGUGGUGUAGCGGUGAAAUGCAUAGAUAUCACGCAGAACCCCGAUUGCGAAGGCAGCAUGCCGGCUUCCGACUGACGCUGAAGCACGAAAGCGUGGGGAUCGAACAGGAUUAGAUACCCCAGUAGUC
rnacentral:rRNA from 1 species